UGGGGAAUAUUGCGCAAUGGGCGAAAGCCUGACGCAGCGACGCCGCGUGAGGGAUGAAGGUUUUCGGAUCGUAAACCUCUGUCAGAAGGGAAGAAACCGCACUGUGCUAAUCAGCAGUGCCUUGACGGUACCUUCAAAGGAAGCACCGGCUAACUCCGUGCCAGCAGCCGCGGUAAUACGGAGGGUGCAAGCGUUAAUCGGAAUUACUGGGCGUAAAGCGCACGUAGGCUGCUUUGUAAGUCAGGGGUGAAAUCCCACUGCUCAACCGUGGAACUGCCUUUGAUACUGCUUAGCUUGAAUCCGGGAGAGGGUGGCGGAAUUCCAGGUGUAGGAGUGAAAUCCGUAGAUAUCUGGAGGAACAUCAGUGGCGAAGGCGGCCACCUGGACCGGUAUUGACGCUGAGGUGCGAAAGCGUGGGGAGCAAACAGG
rnacentral:rRNA from 1 species